rnacentral:tRNA from 1 species
GGGGCUAUAGCUCAGUCGGUCAGAGCAUCAGACUCAUAAUCUGUCGGUCGCGGGUUCGAGCCCCGCUGGCCCCACCA